UUUCAGCUGCCACCCUCGCAAGCCUCAUCCCUCUGCCUGGACAGGUCCGAUGGGCCCAGGCAGAAUGGGCUGCAGGUGAGACCGCUCAUCCCCCUGCCCUCACCAGAAGCCCCAGCCCGGGCCAGAAACCUCAUGGAACCUAACUGCUCUCUUUAUUUGACCCUCCAGUCAAGUAUCUGGACUGCUGGGCCGAAGGUCAUCUUUUUCUCUGACGUCUCUGCCUGGGCCCGCACGUGCUUGGUGACAUGGAGUAAUGGAUGCACAGAUGUCCAGGAGAGUCUGCUUGCUAUGGACGCCGUGGAAUAGAGAGCCUAUGAAGCCCUCAAGAACCUAGCCGUGGGGAAGUCCAGGCACUUUCAAAUGAGGAAGGGGUUCUCAGAAGCCCAAGGAAGGUGGCCAACAGCUGUAAAUUUCUCUCAUGACACAGCUUCGCAGACAGUGAGAGUGUGAAGGGGUCUCCAAGACCUGGAUCCCACCUGCCUCAAAUGAAAGUAUGUGAUAUGUGAUAAAUAGCUUCCAGGCUCAUCGAUUUUACUCUUGGAAGUGUAUGGGGGAAGUUUAGUAAUUUAAGGUAUUUUAAUAUCAUAUAUGGAUGUUUGGAAAAUGCAAAUUGUUCAUGGAUCAAGAGUAAACACAAAGGGACUUCCCUGGGGGUCCAGUGGGUAAGACUCCGCACUCCCAGUGCAGGGGGCCUGGAUUUGAUCCCUGGUCAGGGAACUAGAUCCCGCAUGCCACAACUAAGACCCGGUGCAGCCAAAUAAACAAAUAAAUAGAUUAGCCACAAGGCUUCAAAGAAAUUUCGGGCUUGCGGCUUAACAGGGCCAGCUUGGGAGAGUGUAAUGCCCUCAUCCUCACCUCCUCCACACAGCCUCGCUGGGCCCAUCCUCACCAGCUGAAUCAGGACCUCAAGGGUGAGGUCCAGCACCAGCGCAUCUGAAAAGGCUCCCAGGCGACUCUCAUAUUCAGGUAGAAUUAACAGCGCCAGCUCAAGGGUGUUCGCUCUUAGGUGGAAAGGUCUGGAAGGCACUCCCUCAUCGAUGGUUUCUGGUCUCUUCGUAGAUGAGCUAGUGAUUUCUUCAAGAUCUAAGUGAUACAGUGACAAAUCUACUGGGGAGCUUUGCUGGAUCAAACCAGUGUUAGUAUCAUGCCGUAGAGCGUGAGGAUGUCUCGGGGUUCGCUCCAGAUGACCUCGGCACUGCACAGCGCACCCAAGAGGCAGGUACAGAUCUGCCAAAGAGGAACAAGAUCUCACACUUAGGUGGCUUUUUCCAUCUUUUGAUAAUGGGGAGCAAAUGAAUCUAAGGAUGUCUCUCAAAGCCCUGUAAAGGUAAGACAGCAUCCCCCAACCCCUCCUGAGGCCUGCAAGUGAUGCUUCCUUCAUGGAACCAGGGUCAGAUGGGAAAAUCACAGAAAAAUGAGGCUUCCCAGAGGGCUGCAGAUGUCCUAAGUUUUCAGAUAGAUUCUUGGCACCCGGAACAUGGAUUCUUAGGCAGCUUAGUUCUUCAUUGUUUGUUCCACAAACAACAUAGUAUCUUUCACCAGAUAGAUUCUGAGGCAAUUUGAUGGAGCUGCCAGGUUUAUGCACAGUGUGUCCUUGGUGGCAAGUGCAGUAGAGGGAGGGCCUGGAUAGCUAUAAAGCCUGUCCUUGGAGAAGAGUGGUCUGGGGCCUGGCAGCAGAGAGACCUCUAGAGGACCUGGCAAGUGUGAGAGACAGCUUUUUAAGAAGGGGGCCUGAGGCCCAGGAAUACUGACUGUAGCAUCUCAAGUUAGAAUGUGAGCUACCGGAGGGCAAGGAAUCAGUACAGAGCAGGGGUGAAGAACGUAGGUGUCAGAAUCCCACCAACCUGGGCUGAAUGCCAGUUCUGCCCCUCACUGUGUGACCUUGGCAAGUUCAUUCAUCCGAGGUGGUCUUCUUACCUGUAAGACGGGAUGCUAAUUCCCCCACAGAGUUUGAGUAUUAAAUGAGACUUUAGGUAAAACAUUUAGUAGCAUGCUUAACUCAAGUACUCAUAGACGGUUAUUUUAGCCAUUUAAAAGUGUUUUUCUGUCACUUGCCCAUAGAAUGUCUAGUAUGUCCAACUUGCUCAAGUUGACUGGCUAAGCGAGGGCUUGGUUGAAUGUUUAUCUAAUAAACUCAAAUGUUCUUCUAAAGCGGUGGUUCUCACUUUGUUGUACACCUGAAACUAACACAUUGUAAAUCAACUAUACUACAGUAAAAUUAAAAUAUUUUUAAAAAAGCAGCGGUUCUCCAAAAAACUAACACUUAACUUUCUUUGGGUUAUUUGUAUGGAAAUAUGUUAAUAUAAAUGUUUCAGACAUUACAUGAAAUUCCUAAAAAUCUUAUAUGUUCUGCUAUAAUGUUAUAAGUCAUAAUUCUAGUUAUUAUUUUAAAAUGUGUAUCUCAGAAAUAACUAAAUUUCCUUGUCAAUUGCAUUAUUAUGAACUUUCAUCAAAUCUUUAACCGUGGUCAUUUUUUAAGUCUUUUGUCAUUUACAGACAGUUCUGGGUGUACUCUGAUGCUUUUGCAAAAAUGUUCCUCCCAUAAAAGGGUUUCAUCUUCAAGGAAUUCAUGGAAAAGACUCUGACAAGUACAGGUUUCUGGUAACUGACUGUACUGCUGAACUGAAUGAAUAAGCAUUUUCAGAACUCUA